AGCAGCCGCGGUAAUACGUAGGUGGCAAGCGUUGUCCGGAAUUAUUGGGCGUAAAGGGCUCGCAGGCGGUUUCUUAAGUCUGAUGUGAAAGCCCCCGGCUCAACCGGGGAGGGUCAUUGGAAACUGGGGAACUUGAGUGCAGAAGAGGAGAGUGGAAUUCCACGUGUAGCGGUGAAAUGCGUAGAGAUGUGGAGGAACACCAGUGGCGAAGGCGACUCUCUGGUCUGUAACUGACGCUGAGGAGCGAAAGCGUGGGGAGCGAACAGGAUUAGAUACCCUGGUAGUCCACGCCGUAAACGAUGAGUGCUAAGUGUUAGGGGGUUUCCGCCCCUUAGUGCUGCAGCUAACGCAUUAAGCACUCCGCCUGGGGAGUACGGUCGCAAGACUGAAACUCAAAGGAAUUGACGGGGGCCCGCACAAGCGGUGGAGCAUGUGGUUUAAUUCGAAGCAACGCGAAGAACCUUACCAGGUCUUGACAUCCUCUGACAAUCCUAGAGAUAGGACGUCCCCUUCGGGGGCAGAGUGACAGGUGGUGCAUGGUUGUCGUCAGCUCGUGUCGUGAGAUGUUGGGUUAAGUCCCGCAACGAGCGCAACCCUUGAUCUUAGUUGCCAGCAUUCAGUUGGGCACUCUAAGGUGACUGCCGGUGACAAACCGGAGGAAGGUGGGGAUGACGUCAAAUCAUCAUGCCCCUUAUGACCUGGGCUACACACGUGCUACAAUGGACAGAACAAAGGGCAGCGAAACCGCGAGGUUAAGCCAAUCCCACAAAUCUGUUCUCAGUUCGGAUCGCAGUCUGCAACUCGACUGCGUGAAGCUGGAAUCGCUAGUAAUCGCGGAU
rnacentral:rRNA from 4 species